rnacentral:rRNA from 1 species
UUUUAAACUAKGAUUAGAUACCCUAUUAUUUUUAUUAAAAAAUUAAAUAAUUUAAUUAUUAAAUGUAAAUCAUUAAAAAUAAAAAAUUWGGCGGUAUUUAUUAUUUAGAGGAACUUGUUUAUUAAAUUGAUAAUCCACGAGUGGAAAAACUUAAUUUUUUUUAUUUUUAUGUAUUGUUGUUGUAAAAUUAUAUUAAAAGAUAUUAAUUAAUAAAUUUAAUUAAAAUUAUAAUUCAAAUCAAAAUGUAGAAUAAUUAAGAGUUUAAUGAGUUACAAUUAAAUUAAUAAUUGGAUUUUAAAAUAAAAAAAUUUAAUUUUAUAAAUGAAAAUGGAUUUAAAAGUAAAAUUAUAUAAACUUAUAAUUGAAU